rnacentral:rRNA from 1 species
GACAGAGGCCCCCGAGCGUUAGGCGGAAUCACUGGGCUUAAAGCGUGUGUAGGCGGAUCGUUAAGUGUCUUGUGAAAUCCCACGGCUCACCCGUGGAACUGCUGGGCAUACUGGCGAUCUUGGGCCGUUCAGGGGCGACUGGAACAAGCGGUGGAGCGGUGAAAUGCGUAGAUAUCGCUUGGAACGCCGAAGGUGAAAACAGGUCGCUGGGGACGCGCCGACGCUGAGACACGAAAGCCAGGGGAGCAAACGGG